UACGGAGGGGCUAGGCGUUGUUCGGAAUUAUUGGGCGUAAAGCGCACGUAGGCGGCUUAGCAAGUCCAUGUGAAAGCCCACGGCUUAACCGUGGAAGUGCAUGGGAAACUGCUGAGCUUGAGUACUUAAGAGGAUCGCGGAAUUCCCGGUGUAGAGGUGAAAUUCGUAGAUAUCGAGAGGAACACCUGCGGCGAAGGCGGGUGCUGGGCUGAUACUGACGCUGAGGCGCGAAAGCUAGGGGAGCGAACGGG
rnacentral:rRNA from 1 species